UUAAUGGAGAGUUUGAUCCUGGCUCAGGACGAACGCUGGCGGCAUGCCUAACACAUGCAAGUCGAACGGACUUUUAGUUUUUAGUUUACUAAAUACUAAAAGUUAGUGGCGGACGGGUGAGUAACGCGUGGGUAACCUGCCCAUAAGUUGGGGAUAACUCCGGGAAACCGGUGCUAAUACCGAAUAAGCUUAAUUUACCGCAUGGUAGAUUAAGUAAAGAUGGCCUCUUUACAAUGCUAUCGCUUAUGGAUGGACCCGCGUCUGAUUAGCUAGUUGGUGAGGUAAUGGCUCACCAAGGCGACGAUCAGUAGCCGGCCUGAGAGGGUGAACGGCCACACUGGGACUGAGACACGGCCCAGGACUCCUACCGGGAGGCAGCA
rnacentral:ncRNA from 1 species